rnacentral:rRNA from 1 species
GACGAACCGUGCGAACGUUGUUCGGAAUCACUGGGCUUAAAGGGCGCGUAGGCGGGUGCGCAAGUCAGGGGUGAAAGCCCACGGCUCAACCGUGGAAGGGCCUUUGAUACUGCGUGUCUGGAGGGAGGUAGGGGCGUGCGGAACUUCCGGUGGAGCGGUGAAAUGCGUAGAUAUCGGAAGGAACAUCAGUGGCGAAAGCGACUUCCUGGACCAAUACUGACGCUCAUGUGCGAAAGCGUGGGGAGCAAACAGG